rnacentral:rRNA from 1 species
AGCGAACGCUGGCGGCAGGCUUAACACAUGCAAGUCGAACGGGCGUAGCAAUACGUCAGUGGCAGACGGGUGAGUAACGCGUGGGAACGUACCUUUUGGUUCGGAACAACCCAGGGAAACUUGGGCUAAUACCGGAUAAGCCCUUACGGGGAAAGAUUUAUCGCCGAAAGAUCGGCCCGCGUCUGAUUAGCUAGUUGGUGAGGUAACGGCUCACCAAGGCGACGAUCAGUAGCUGGUCUGAGAGGAUGAUCAGCCACAUUGGGACUGAGACACGGCCCAAACUCCUACGGGAGGCAGCAGUGGGGAAUCUUGCGCAAUGGCCGAAAGGCUGACGCAGCGACGCCGCGUGUGGGAUGAAGCAUUUCGGUGUGUAAACCACUGUUGCCCGGGACGAACAUCCUCUUUCGAGAGGACUGACGGUACCGGGUGAGGAAGCACCGGCUAACU